AGACGUAGGGGGCGAGCGUUGUCCGGAAUUACUGGGCGUAAAGCGCGCGCAGGCGGACAUGCAAGUCGGGGGUGAAAUCCUAGGGCUUAACCCUGGGACUGCUCCCGAUACUGCGUGUCUAGGGACCGGUAGAGGUCGGUGGAAUUCCCGGUGUAGCGGUGGAAUGCGUAGAUAUCGGGAAGAACACCUGUGGCGAAGGCGGCCGACUGGGCCGGAUCCGACGCUGAGGCGCGAAAGCGUGGGGAGCAAACAGGAUUAGAUACCCUGGUAGUCCACGCCGUAAACGAUGGGUGCUAGAUGCCGGGGGGAGCGACCCCUUCGGUGUCGUAGCUAACGCGUUAAGCACCCCGCCUGGGGAGUACGGCCGCAAGGCUGAA
rnacentral:rRNA from 1 species